rnacentral:rRNA from 1 species
UCACCAAGCCGAUAAUCGAUAGGGGCCGUGAGAGCGGUUGCCCCGAGAUGGGUACUGAGACAGCGACCCAGGCCUUACGAGGCGCAGCAGGCGCGAGACCUCCGCAAUACACGCAAGUGUGACGGGGUUACCCAAAGUGUCCUUAUUGGACUGUGGCGGGUGAGUAACGUUCCCCGCUAGAAAGGAGAGGGCAAGGCUGGUGCCAGCCGCCGCGGUAAAACCAGCUCUUCAAGUGGUCGGGAUAAUUAUUGGGCUUAAAGUGUCCGUAGCCGGUUUAGUAAGUUCCUGGUAAAACCGGGCAGCUUAACUGUCCGUAUGCUAGGAAUACUGCUAUGCUAGAGGGCGGGAGAGGUCUGAGGUACUACAGGGGUAAGGGUGAAAUCUUAUAAUCCUUGUAGGACCACCAGUGGCGAAAGCGUCAGACUGGAACGCGCCUGACGGUGAGGGACGAAAGCCAGGGGAGCGAACCGGAUUAGAUACCCGGGUAGUCCUGGCCGUAAACGAUGCAUACUAGGCAAUGGUGCGGCCAUGAGCCGCAUCAGUACCGUAGGGAAACCGUUAAGUGUGCCGCCUGGGAAGUACGGUCGCAAGGCUAAAACUUAAAGGAAUUGGCGGGGGAGCACCACAAGGGGUGAAGCCUGCGGUUCAAUUGGACUCAACGCCGGGAAACUUACCAGGGGAGACAGCAGAAUGACAGUCAGGUUGACGACCUUACUCGACGAGCUGAGAGGAGGUGCAUGGCCGUCGCCAGUUCGUGCUGUGAGGUAUCCUGUUAAGUCAGGCAACGAACGAGAUCCGCGCCUUUAUUUGCCAUCAAGAAGUCACGACUUCGUUGGGAACACUAAAGGGACCGCCGUCGAUAAGACGGAGGAAGGAGCGGGCAAAGGCAGGUCAGUAUGCCCCGAAACCCCUGGGCUACACGCGGGCUGCAAUGGUGCGAACAAUGGGCUGUAACUCCGAAAG